UCCUCGGGAUCAAGGGCAACGAGUUC
rnacentral:piRNA from 1 species